rnacentral:rRNA from 1 species
GCUUAACACAUGCAAGUCGAGGGGAAACGACAUCGAAAGCUUGCUUUUGAUGGGCGUCGACCGGCGCACGCCGCGAGUAACGCGUAUCCAACCUGCCCACCACUUGGGGAUAACCUUGCGAAAGUAAGACUAAUACCCAAUGACGUCUCUAGAAGACAUCUGAAGGAGAUUAAAGAUUUAUCGGUGAUGGAUGGGGAUGCGUCUGAUUAGCUUGUUGGCGGGGUAACGGCCCACCAAGGCAACGAUCAGUAGGGGUUCUGAGAGGAAGGUCCCCCACAUUGGAACUGAGACACGGUCCAAACUCCUACGGGAGGCAGCAGUGAGGAAUAUUGGUCAAUGGGCGAGAGCCUGAACCAGCCAAGUAGCGUGCAGGAUGACGGCCCUAUGGGUUGUAAACUGCUUUUAUAAGGGAAUAAAGUGAGUCUCGUGAGACUUUUUGCAUGUACCUUAUGAAUAAGGACCGGCUAAUUCCGUGCCAGCAGCCGCGGUAAUACGGAAGGUCCGGGCGUUAUCCGGAUUUAUUGGGUUUAAAGGGAGCGUAGGCCGGAGAUUAAGCGUGUUGUGAAAUGUAGACGCUCAACGUCUGCACUGCAGCGCGAACUGGUUUCCUUGAGUACGCACAAAGUGGGCGGAAUUCGUGGUGUAGCGGUGAAAUGCUUAGAUAUCACGAAGAACUCCGAUUGCGAAGGCAGCUCACUGGAGCGCAACUGACGCUGAAGCUCGAAAGUGCGGGUAUCGAACAGGAUUAGAUACCCUGGUAGUCCGCACGGUAAACGAUGGAUGCCCGCUGUUGGUCUGAAUAGGUCAGCGGCCAAGCGAAAGCAUUAAGCAUCCCACCUGGGGAGUACGCCGGCAACGGUGA